GACGGAGGGGGCUAGCGUUGUUCGGAAUUACUGGGCGUAAAGCGCACGUAGGCGGACGAGAAAGUCAGAGGUGAAAUCCCAGGGCUCAACCCUGGAACUGCCUUUGAAACUCCUUGUCUUGAGGUCGAGAGAGGUGAGUGGAAUUCCGAGUGUAGAGGUGAAAUUCGUAGAUAUUCGGAGGAACACCAGUGGCGAAGGCGGCUCACUGGCUCGAUACUGACGCUGAGGUGCGAAAGCGUGGGGAGCAAACAGG
rnacentral:rRNA from 1 species